AAGUCGUAACAAGGUCUCCGUAGGUGAACCUGCGGAGGGAUCAUUACCGAGUGAGGGCCUCCGGGCCCGACCUCCAACCCUUUGUGAUUGACCACUGUUGCCUCGGGGGCGACCCGGGCCCUCGCAGCCCGGGGCCCCCGGCGGGCCACCAAAUCAAACUCUGCAUCCAUGCGUCGGAUACACAAGUUUAAUUCAAUUAAAACUUUCAACAACGGAUCUCUUGGUUCUGGCAUCGAUGAAGAACGCAGCGAAAUGCGAUAAGUAAUGUGAAUUGCAGAAUUCAGUGAAUCAUCGAGUUUUUGAACGCACACUGCGCCCCUUGGUAUUCCGGGGGGCAUGCCCGUUCGAGCGUCAUUACACCCUUCAAGCCUGGCUUGGUAUUGGGCCCCGGGGGCGACCCGGGCCCGGAAGUCUGUCGGCUGGCGAGCCCUGAUCUCAGCGUCGUGGUAAAACAAUUUCGCGAGGAGAGGGGUGACCCGGGCCGUUAAAACCAAAUUCUUUCUCAGGUUGACCUCGGAUCGGGUAGGAAUACCCGCUGAACUUAA
rnacentral:rRNA from 1 species